rnacentral:rRNA from 1 species
UUGCCUACGGGACGCAGCAGUGGGGAAUAUUGCACAAUGGGGGAAACCCUGAUGCAGCGACGCCGCGUGAGUGAAGAAGUAUUUCGGUAUGUAAAGCUCUAUCAGCAGGGAAGAAAAAAGACGGUACCUGACUAAGAAGCCCCGGCUAACUACGUGCCAGCAGCCGCGGUAAUACGUAGGGGGCAAGCGUUAUCCGGAUUUACUGGGUGUAAAGGGAGCGUAGACGGCGCGGCAAGUCUGAAGUGAAAGGCAGGGGC